ACGAGUGAUGGCGGCGUAUACCUG
rnacentral:miRNA from 1 species